rnacentral:lncRNA from 1 species
GGUGUCAAAAACUGAGGUGAGCCAUAAUGUAGUCUCACAUCAUACUGCAGCCUGAACAAAGAGAACCAAGUGGAGGGGUGUCUGUAAUUGCUGAUUCUUUCUAUGAAGCAAGAAUGAUUUUUUUCUUCUAAGCACACAAAUAGAGAUAUAUCUGCAAUAACUUUUUUAACACAUCAGUUCAUAUAUAUCUGCUGAGAAAUACAGGAAAUAUUCCGGAACUCGUAAUUUUCAGAAAGAAUAUUUGAAGUCACCUACACUGCACAUCAAAUAGCAAAUGCCAUGUAAGUUUUAUGCUCAGGAAACCUGUGAGUUAUGCAAAAAUCCAUUAACAGCUACAGUAACUGUAAAAACAGAGAUUGCUUUGCUAAAAGAAGGAUAAAACCUCGGUUAUGCCUCGAUAAAGUAAAACGGCACCCCACUAUCUUUUCUCAUAAAUCAAGCUUAUUAGCUGUGGCUGAGUUAGUCUUAACUACUACUCUCAGGAUCAUAUAUUUGUCAAGCAAGGGUCCUAUGCUUGAUCAUGUAUUCCAAUGCCUGAUGCAUGACAAGAUUUGAUUCAACCAACCAACCAUGCUCAGAGGCAGUGUGAGCAAUACUACUUCCCUUUUCACUAGCCCAUCAGUGAUACAAAAUCUCCACAGCCAAAUUAAACCUUAACAGGUGGAGUAGAUAUUAUAACCUUAUAAACAUCAUGCAACUCUUAUUGCCAUCCCAACAGCAGGGCAAAGGGAAUGCAGCUAGAAACAAAACAAGAGAUGAAAUAAUCGAAGUACUAAAAUUUAUAUCAAAUGCUCAUCUAGAGUGGGCUCCAUACCUGUAAGGACUUUUGAUCUGCAAAACACCAAUGAUUGUGUUCUGAGGCAUCCAUGAGUAGCAGCAGUCAUUUUAAUCUGAAACAGUUGCAAGAACACAUACUGCUAUUUGAGAGUAUAACCAUUGGAACCCACCGAGCAGUAGUGGUGGUGGCAACUCCAGGAAAGGAUUACUUGAUAUGUAGCACACCUACAGCUUUAAGAAUAAUUGGUUCCCCAUGGAUUCUGACGGAGAACUUGGCAUCUUCAUAUCAUCAUUAUGUUGCAAUUUCACACUUGGCAAGAAGUUAUCAAGCCAUAGCAGAUGAUAGAAUAAUAAAUCUAAUAUAAAUCUCCAAACUCUAGCAGGAUCUACUAAUUUAAAAGCUCAUAUAGCAAAAAGAGAUAUCUUAGAAUGGAAAUCCAAUUCACCAGUAAGCAAUUUGAGAAACAAGAAACCCAAGGAUUCAACUUUAAACUAAAUGCAGUCUUAAUGGCAUCUGUCAAAGAGGCA